rnacentral:tRNA from 1 species
GCCUGGGUGGCUCAGUGGUUGAGCAUCUGCCUUUGGCUCAGGUCGUGAUCCCAGGGUCCUGGGAUCCAAUCCCACAUCAGGCU